GACGAACGCUGGCGGCGUGCCUAAUACAUGCAAGUAGAACGCUGAAGCUUGGUGCUUGCACCGAGCGGAUGAGUUGCGAACGGGUGAGUAACGCGUAGGUAACCUGCCUGGUAGCGGGGGAUAACUAUUGGAAACGAUAGCUAAUACCGCAUAAGAGUAGAUGUUGCAUGACAUUUGCUUAAAAGGUGCAAUUGCAUCACUACCAGAUGGACCCGCGUUGUAUUAGCUAGUUGGUGAGGUAACGGCUCACCAAGGCAACGAUACAUAGCCGACCUGAGAGGGUGAUCGGCCACACUGGGACUGAGACACGGCCCAGACGCCUACGGGAGGCAGCAGUAGGGAAUCGUCGGCAAUGGACGGAAGUCUGACCGAGCAACGCCGCGUGAGUGAAGAAGGUUUUCGGAUCGUAAAGCUCUGUUGUAAGAGAAGAACGAGUGUGAGAGUGGAAAGUUCACACUGUGACGGUAUCUUACCAGAAAGGGACGGCUAACUACGUG
rnacentral:rRNA from 1 species